rnacentral:rRNA from 1 species
CCUACGGGUGGCAGCAGUGGGGAAUAUUGGGCAAUGGAGGCAACUCUGACCCAGCAACGCCGCGUGAAUGAUGAAGGUCUUCGGAUUGUAAAGUUCUGUGAUGAGGGAUGAACACAAUGACGGUACCCUAAUAGCAAGCCACGGCUAACUACGUGCCAGCCGCCGCGGGAAUACGUAGGGGGCACGCGUUAUCCGGAUUGACGGGGCGUAAAGGGAGCGUAGGUGGUUUUGUAAGUUGGCGGUGAAAUUCCGGGGCUCAACCGUGGAGCUACCGCUGAAAAGGUAAAACUAGAGUGCAGGAGAGGUAAGUGGAAUUCCUAGUGUAGCGGUGGAAUGCGUAGAGAUAAGGAGGAACACCAGGGGCGAAGGCGACUUACUGGACUGUAACUGACGCUGAGGCACGAAAGCGUGGGGAGCAAACAGGAUUAGAUACCCGAGUAGUC